AACGCAUAUUGCGCUCUUUGGUAUUCCGAAGAGCAUGCUUGUUUGAGUAUCAGUAAACACCUCAAAGCUUUUGAUUUUUUUUAAAAGUUUUGGACUUGAGCAAUCCCAACACCAGUCUUUUACAGAUCGGCGGCGGGUUGCUUGAAAUGCAGGUGCAGCUGGACAUUCUCCUGAGCUAAAAGCAUAUUUAUUUAGUCCCGUCAAACGGAUUAUUACUUUUGCUGCAGCUAAUAUAAAGGGAGUUUGACCGUAUUGGCUGACUGAUGCAGGAUUUCACAAGGGUCGGCAACGAUUCUUGUAAAACUCGAUCUCAAAUCAAGUAAGACUACCCGCUGAACUUAA
rnacentral:misc_RNA from 1 species